rnacentral:rRNA from 1 species
AAGUAAAAGUCGUAACAAGGUUUCCGUAGGUGAACCUGCGGAAGGAUCAUUACUGAGUGUUUAGGGUCUCCGGGCCCGACCUCCAACCCCCUGUGUACCUGUCCACGUUGCUUCGGCGGGGCCGGACGCUCCCCCUUCACCGGGGGCAGCGAACGCCCGUCGAGGAUCAUUUCAAACUCUGGUAUGUACCGUGCCGUCUGAGUAUUCUAGCGAAUCUAAAAAAGCAAAACUUUCAACAACGGAUCUCUUGGUUCUGGCAUCGAUGAAGAACGCAGCGAAAUGCGAUAAGUAAUGUGAAUUGCAGAAUUCAGUGAAUCAUCGAAUCUUUGAACGCACAUUGCGCCCCCUGGUAUUCCGGGGGGCAUGCCUGUUCGAGCGUCAUUAACACCCCUCAAGCCCGGCUUGCAGUUGGGCGUCGUCUCCCCAUCAUCCGGGUGGGACGUGCCUGAAAAACAGUGACGGCGGCGUUCGGUCCCCAGCGUAGUACGAUCUCUCGCAUCAUCGCUUCCGGGUCGGACGUGUGCCGGUCAAAACCCCUUUAAAUUUUCAAAAGGUUGACCUCGGAUCAGGUAGGAAUACCCGCUGAACUUAAGCAUA